rnacentral:rRNA from 1 species
UGGGUAAUCCACCCUCGGCACCGGGAUAGCCCGGGGAAACCCGGAUUAAUACCGGAUGGCCCUUCCGGCCCUCGGGCCGGUCGGAAAAGGUAGCUUCGGCCUCCGGCCGAGGACGAGCCCGCGGCGGAUUAGCUUGUUGGUGGGGUAACGGCCUACCAAGGCGACGAUCCGUAGCUGGUCUGAGAGGACGAUCAGCCACACUGGGACUGAGACACGGCCCAGACUCCUACGGGAGGCAGCAGUGGGGAAUCUUGCGCAAUGGGCGAAAGCCUGACGCAGCGACGCCGCGUGAGGGAAGAAGGCCUUCGGGUUGUAAACCUCUUUUAAGAGAGAAGAAGCCACUCGGGUUAAUAGCCCAGAGGGUGACGGUAUCUCUUGAAUAAGCCCCGGCUAACUACGUGCCAGCAGCCGCGGUAAUACGUAGGGGGCAAGCGUUGUCCGGAUUUACUGGGCGUAAAGAGCGUGUAGGCGGCCAUGCAGGUCCGUUGUGAAAACUGGAGGCUCAACCUCCAGACGUCGACGGAAACCGUGCGGCUAGAGUCCGGAAGAGGAGAGUGGAAUUCCUGGUGUAGCGGUGAAAUGCGCAGAUAUCAGGAAGAACACCAAUGGCGAAGGCAGCUCUCUGGGACGGUACUGACGCUGAGAC